rnacentral:snRNA from 1 species
UAAGCAGAACUGGCGAUGCGGGA